rnacentral:misc_RNA from 1 species
AAGGAUCAUUAUCGUAGGUGCUUGCACGCCUUCGAGAUAGCACCCGUUGUCUAUGCGUACCUUCUGUUUCCUCGGCGGGCUUGACCGCCAAUGGGGACUUCUAAAACAAACCUCUUGCAGUUGCAUCAAAUGUCCGAUACAAAAACGAUAAAUCUUAACAACUUUCAACAACGGAUCUCUUGGUUCUG